CGACGGCCCUGGGUAGUCUGAUGAAUACAAGUCUGUCAGAAACAAAGAGUUGAUGAGCGUCGACUUUCCUAGUCCUGACUCACCUACAACAAUCAACUUAAUUUC